AGUGAACGCUGGCGGUAGGCCUAACACAUGCAAGUCGAACGGCAGCACAGUAAGAGCUUGCUCUUACGGGUGGCGAGUGGCGGACGGGUGAGGAAUGCAACGGAAUCUACUUUUUCGUGGGGGAUCACGUAGGGAAACUUACGCUAAUACCGCAUACGCCCUACGGGGGAAGGCAGGGGAUCUUCGGACCUUGCGCGAUUGAAUGCGCCGAUGUCGGAUUAGCUGGUUGGCGGGGUAAAUGCCCACCAAGGCGACGAUACGCGGCUGGGCUGAGAGGAUGGUCGCCCGCCCUGGAACUUGGACAAGGUCCAUGCUCCUACGGUAGGCAGCAGUGGGGAAUAUUAGACAAUGGGCGGGAGCCUGACCCAGCCAUACCGCGUGGGUGGAGAAGACGCUCGGGUUGUAAAGCCCUUUUGUUGGGAAAGAAAAGCAGCAGGUUAAUACCAAGCUGUUCUGACGGUACCCGAAGAAUAAGCACCGGCUAACUACGUG
rnacentral:rRNA from 1 species